rnacentral:lncRNA from 1 species
AUGAGCCCACUACUGUCCACUGACACAUCAUGGAGAUUGAACGUUGUACAGCAUCAGGUCCUAAAGUCAGGUCCUACCAGAUACAGAUAUAUCUCCCUCGCCCUGAAGAAAACAGCCACCAUGCUCCAAGUAGCUCAAUGGAGAGAUCCAAGCCCAGUGUGCAACCAGCAGCCAGCGAGGACCCAUGGCCUGCUCACAUGGGACCUCCCCCAGUCCACCUUUGGGAUGACAGCAGCCCCAGCCGAUGACAUUACAGCCUUGUGAGAGACCCUGAAUCAGAGGCGUCUAGCGAAGCUGCACCCAGAGUCUCGACCCUCUACAACUCCAGCAAAAUUAUGAGAUUAUAAAUGUGCAUCAUUUGAAGCCACUAAAUUUGGGGGGCAUUUUGUUAUGUGCCAGUAGAUAACAAAUAUAGACUCUUAAUCUAUGUUGCAAAGAGGAAACUCACCAAUAAGAAUGUGCAUGAAUUUAUCCUUUGGAAUAAAUUAGACAAUCGGGAUCCUAAUAAAAUUCUGCAAAUGUCCG